CCUACGGGAGGCAGCAGUGGGGAAUUUUGCGCAAUGGGCGAAAGCCUGACGCAGCAACGCCGCGUGCGGGAUGAAGGCUCUCGGGUCGUAAACCGCUUUCAGCAGGGAUGAAAUUGACAGUACCUGCAGAAGAAGCCCCGGCUAAAUACGUGCCAGCAGCCGCGGUAAUACGUAUGGGGCAAGCGUUAUCCGGAUUCAUUGGGCGUAAAGAGCGCGUAGGCGGCUUGCUAAGUUAGAUGUGAAAUCCGGGGGCUCAACCCGCGGUCUGCAUCUAAAACUGGCAGGCUUGAGUCUGGUAGAGGAAAGUGGAAUUCCCAGUGUAGCGGUGAAAUGCGCAGAUAUUGGGAGGAACACCAGUGGCGAAGGCGGCUUUCUGGGCCACGACUGACGCUGAGGCGCGAAAGCUAGGGGAGCAAACAGGAUUAGAUACCCUGGUAGUCCUAGCCGUAAACGAUGGGCACUAGGUGUGGGGGGUCAUCAACUCCCUCCGUGCCGCAGCUAACGCAUUAAUGCCCCGCCUGGGGAGUACGGCCGCAAGGCUAAAACUCAAAGGAAUUGACGG
rnacentral:rRNA from 1 species